UAGUCUGGGAAACUGCCUGAUGGAGGGGGGUAACUACUGGAAACGGUAGCUAAUACCGCAUAAUGUCGCAAGACCAAAGUGGGGGACCGUUCGGGGCCUCAUGCCAUCAGAUGUGCCCAGAUGGGAUUAGCUAGUAGGUGGGGUAAUGGCUCACCUAGGCGACGAUCCCUAGCUGGUCUGAGAGGAUGACCAGCCACACUGGAACUGAGACACGGUCCAG
rnacentral:rRNA from 1 species